UCUGCUCCGCGCAUCCGCUCGGCGCGCUGCGGCCCUUCCGGUUCCGGUCGCGCGGGGCCUUUUGGCGGGGCCGGGCGUGUGGGGGCUGCGGGGGUUUCCUGCUGGAGCUCAACCACAGAGGAACCCCAAGCGGAGAUGAUGGGGGUUUGUGCUUGCCCUCAGCACUUCCAUCUGUGAGAAUGAUGUGCUUGACACCCAGCAGGAGCUCUGACAGCUCUUCCCAGUUCACAGCAUGCAGCAGAGCUGGCUUUCCAAGAGGAUUCAAGGAUGGUCCCAAUGCUGCCAGGCUGGCGCAGAGAGCAGACAGUCCUGCAAACAGGCAGAGGUGGACUUGGAUUCAGGAAUGCAUGCUCCCAGGGAAGGAAAUUUACUCAUCCCUGCCUCUGCUAAGCCUCUUCGUGGAGACUGAUAUUUUUCUAAGGAUUGAAAGGUGUUUAUUAACGAACUGAUCAGAUCCAGGCCAUCGUUUAACUCACUUUGAGAGAUGACCAGUUACAGGCCCUUCCCUGGGAGGGAGGUACCAGGCAGCUCUCGGGCAAUGGCACACGGGCACAAGAGGUGUUUACAAAGAAAAGUCAGGCAUUCCCAAACUGCCCCCGUUCCUUGCUAGCAACUCCUUGCUCCCUGGAUUAUGAGCAUGACAUCUUCAGCAAUAAUAAAAUACCCCAGCAAAAAAGUUACCAUGCAAGUGUUUUUUCCCUUUAUACUAGAAGAAAAGGUGCAUGUUGGAAUUGCCUUGACAGUUUGCCACCUCCCCAAUGUCUAAGGGAUAAAUCAUCUUGUGCGGCCUCAAAACAGUGUCUCCCCCUCCUCAUGCUCCCCCAAGAAGACUGGUGUUUACAACCUCUUAGGUGUUACAAAUAUCUAACAUGGGUAUUGGAACAAGUGUUGGAUUUGAUGCUUCACCCACAAUGAACGCUUUGCUGGCUCCUCACGCUUUAAUUAUCUCUUACCAGUGGCCCCUCCUGCACCACCUGCUCACUUUUGCAUUAGCACUGCACUCCACUGUGUCCUGUGAUGCUGAAUUUGAUGCAGGAAGCCUUGUAUGCUUAUGAGCUUUGCAAUGAAAGGACGUGAAUAAGGGUUGGGAUGCUUUCCACAUGCUGAUCCCGAUUAAUGUAUUUUAUGAAUCAGGACUUAGUCCUAUUGCUAAUGUUUGUCUCCAUAACCUUUGCUAUGUCAAUGGUGCCUGUGCUGGAGUCCAAGCACUGGCAGCUGGUGUCUCUGGCCAAUUCCCAGCCUAUAAUUGAACUUUCCUGUCAGUCAUUUGGAAGAAAGGAAGAAACAUGUUUCUAGCUGUUUGUGGUAUCAAACAGAAAAGGCUCCAGGCUACGAGGUUGUGUAAGGCUUUAAUAUACUGGUGACACAAGGGAAAGUUCAGGUAAGUCAAAUAAUGAUAUAAAGUUAAUACACCUUCACUUCUACUGCACUGAACUACAGUAACAUAAGGCCAGUUAAAUCCUGAAUGAAAAUCUCAGCACAAGAGUUUAAUGCCUUCUAGGUUUUGUAUGCUAACAUCUCCCUCUGAACACAGGCCAGUCCUGGAGAUAUUUUACCCUAUUCCCAGUCUUGACAAUGGUAGAAAACUAUUGCAGAGCUAAAAGGCAGUGUGUCUGGGAACAGGGGAUCACCCUGGAAGUGAAGAACUCUGCUCUGCUUUCUCGUACUGACUUACUGCAUGGCUUUUUGUAUAGCAUUUGUGAGGCUCAAUAUUUAUAUUUGCAUAUCAGGAUUACUGGUAUCUUCCCUGCCAGUGCAAAGGGCUUUAAGAAAUACAUGGAGAUAUUUCUUCUCUUGUGCAGUGUUUCACUAGUAUGGGCUAUACAAGGAGCUGUUAUAGAUAAGCACAUUCAGGUACACAUCUGGAGGACUCAACUUUGGAUGACACAGUUACUUUAGUUUUAAGAGUCAAGGAGUGAAAGAAUUCAGGUCAUCUCAUAUCCAGCACCACCUGAUACUGGCUCCCUAGGCUGAUAAGGCAAAGAAAAAAAAGUGGACAUGUAGUUAAGUGCCUACAAUGUUUUUAGUUAGAACUCUGUAAACCGGAAUCGUAUGUCCCCAGGGCACAACUCUGUCAGGUGUUUGUCAGUCAUUAUACUUAUUUUAGCUGGAAACAUUGUCAUUUGGAACCUUUUCAUAAUUUUAAGGGCUUAGUAAGCAGGUAUUUAUUUCCAUGUAGCCAGUGGUACAUAAAGAAAUUCCACUGACUCAGAUGGGACUGACUUAUUAGGGAAUGGCUCCUGAAGAACUGGAGUAUAUCUGAACUCAAGAUCUCAUUCCUCUUUCUCACACUGUUAAUAAAUGUGCAGCUUAGCAGCAAGACCGUGGAUGAAUGCAUGUUCUUUCUUGUUGAGAACUCCUAACUAUGUCCUCUCUUUAGUACAAAAGCUGCAGAGACAAGACUCCCUGGACAGUAAGAAGCCAGGACCACUUCACUUUUAUUCACUCUCUGGGUUGCAAACAAGAGAAACCAGAGCGAGUCCCUGCCUGCUGAAAUUCCAGGGACUUGCACUGAAUCGCAGCAAGUCCCAGAGGCAUUUUGAAUCUUUUGUUGUAUAUAUCAGCCCUGCAUGGCUCAGAGACAGUUGUACUUUAAGUUACUUAUUGUUAAUAAUAAAAGAAUA